rnacentral:misc_RNA from 1 species
GAUGAAGAACGCAGCGAAAUGCGAUAAGUAAUGUGAAUUGCAGAAUUCAGUGAAUCAUCGAAUCUUUGAACGCACAUUGCGCCCGCCAGUAUUCUGGCGGGCAUGCCUGUUCGAGCGUCAUUACAACCCUCAGGCCCCCGGGCCUGGCGUUGGGGAUCGGCGGAGCCCCCCGUGGGCACACGCCGUCCCCCAAAUACAGUGGCGGUCCCGCCGCAGCUUCCAUCGCGUAGUAUCUAACACCUCGCGACUGGAGAGCGGCGCGGCCACGCCGUAAAACACCCAACUCUUCUGAAGUUGACCUCGAAUCAGGUAGGAAUACCCGCUGAACUUAAGCAUAUCAAUAAGCGGAGGA